rnacentral:tRNA from 1 species
GCGGGUAUCGUAUAGUGGUUAUUAUGUAGCCUUCCCAAGGCUGAGAGGUGAGUUCGAUUCUCCCUACCCGCACCA